ensembl:snRNA U2 U2 spliceosomal RNA
AUCGCUUCAUGGCCUUUUUGCUAAGAUCAAGUGCAGUAUCUGUUCUUAUUAGUUUAAGUUUAAAAAAAUCAUGGAGGCAUCCAUGCACAGUCAACCUUUAGAAAAAAUAUUUCCUGAUACUAAAGUAUUGGGAGAACUACCUCUUAAUUUUUAUAAAUUUGGGUCAAAAUCCAU